AUGGCGACGGGAUCCAUGGAGACGGCCAUCAUGAGCGAUCCAACGAUCAAGCUCCCCGACGACCUCCUGGUCGAGAUCAUCUCGCGCGUGCCGUUCAAGUCCACCCGCUGCUGCAAGUGCGUCUCCACGCGCUGGCGGGACCUCAUCUCCCACCCCGACCACCGCGACAAGCUUCCCCGGUCGACCCUCGCCGGCUUCUUCUGCAAAAACCGCGGCAUGGACUGCGAUCCACGUUUUCAUGAUGUUUACCACAGCGUCUCGGGGGAUUGGUGCCCUUUUGACGAUUCCCUCUCGUUCCUACCUGAAUACGAGGAGCUUGAUAUCUUGGACUGCUGCAACGGCCUCCUCCUCUGUCUAUGUUCGCAGCCUUAUGCCGAGAAACCGGAUUAUGUGGUGUGCAAUCCUGCCACUGAGAAAUGGGUAACCUUCCCUGCCAACCGGAUUGUGUCGUUUGCUCGCCUGGGAUUCGACCCUGCCGUCUCCUCCCAUUUCCAUGUGUUUGAGUUGGUACCUAUCAAUUCAAAGGUGGACAUGAUUAUAGGAUCGAAGAGGUGGGGAUCUACUCUUCCAAAGCUGGAGGUUGGACACAUCAAAUUGCUUGGGACGAUCCAAUUGAGAUACUCUACUUUUCAGGGAAAUUGUAGGAUCAUUCCUCUUCCUACUUCUCAUGAUGCUCCUAUUGUUCCUAAUGUCUAUGUAUCACGGGGACAAUUGUAUCUCACAAAUAGGGGUGCUUCUGAACUAUCAAUCUGGGUUCUUGAAGACUCUAGUAGUGAAGAUUGUUGGACCUUGAAGCUCAAUGUUAGCUACUUGCAACUGUUUGGAGAAGGGUAUUCAAGCCGCAUGCCAUAUUAUGGUGUUAUCUCAGCGCACCCAGAACACAAUAUGGCAUUCGUAACCAUAGGACUGAGGUCGGGGUUCCAAGAGCUUGUGAAGUUAUUUUCAUACGACGUGGAUUCUAGGGAGCUGUGUUUCGUAUCUGAUCUUGGCUGGUAUGUCGGGCGGGCUUAUCUUUCAUAUGUUCCUUUGUUCUCGGAGUCAUUAGCAGAUGGGCACUAA
rnacentral:rRNA from 1 species